AGGUGAACCUGCGGAAGGAUCAUUAUCUGCUAUGUUUUAGGGGCCUCAGGGGCCUGCGCUCUGGUGAGUUGCGGGCCCUUUCGUGCAAACCCAUCCGUGUACCUUUCCUGUUGCCUCCGUGGGUGCCCUCGGCGCCCGCGGGGGGUUAUAGAGAAAACUAUUUUUUGGCUUCUUCAUGUCAUCAUGUCUGAAAGUAACCAGAAAACAAAAAGGAUUCAAAACUUUCAACAACGGACCUCUUGGUUCUCG
rnacentral:misc_RNA from 1 species